UAUCUCUGAUUCAUACAGUCUCGUCACAGUUCAUGUGUGUAUUCACACCUGUUGGUUUACAUUGACGUAUGCGAGUAUUUGCCACUUCACUCCUGUUCUCAAACACGUGGCAUGCAGAAAAAGGUCAAUGAAACCGCGAUUUGUUCUCUGGUUUAGUUUUAUAUAACAUUAUGUAACAAUUGGAUAAUUCAGUUAGGACAACUAUCAGCGAUUCGCUCUACGAUUUGUGUCUUUUUCGUAAUUCUUAGAAAAUUAUAAUUUAUAUAUAUACAUUUACAAUUGUAUAUGUACAUCAAAUAAUGAAUGAAACUGUACUGUUGCAUUUUUAUAAGCUACAUAAGUAUGAUCAAAGGUUCUUGUCGGUAACUAAGAAGAAUGACCUGAGUGGCACACUUGACUCAAAUGAUUCCGUCUAUACCAUCACUGAUGCACGGAAGGCCUAAGGCUUCCGAAUGGUAGAAUCAGAUUGGCGACGCGUAUUCAACCAAUUGGAAGCUUCAUGUCUUCUCUGCGUCCGUGGUAUGAAUGAUAUCUUUGUUCAAAUAAUUUUCGUGGCAAUUGUGACGUCUGUCUAAAAACUUUACGAAUAGUUUGACACUAAUGCAACAUAAUGCAUUUAUAAGAUUGCAUGCAAAUAGGGCAACCCCAAAUCCUUCAAAAAAGAAUUCAAGAAUUCAAGAAAAUUCAACUCAGCAGUGGAAAGAGCCUCACCCGAUGUAUCGAAAUAUCAAGUUGAGAAAAGAAUCUGAGAAAUGAAUCAGAUCGACGUUACCUCGACGUACAUUUCCCUUGUUUGUUCUUUCGCGAACAAACAAGCUCAGACGGUAAGUAUGUUAAUUCUCAGCUCCCGAGAUAAUGUUGCAAAGAAGCGACGCGUCGUGUCGCAACAGCACGUAAAAUAAAAGUCAAAAAUAUAUGGAUCAAAAGAUAAAACGAUUGCUUCGUCCGUGAAGUCGCGGCGCGACGGAUGGACAGAAAAAUAUGCCACGAACUCAUUGUCGAGCACCGCGUGCGAACUAUAAAACAUAUUUGCCGAGGGCUUGUCGGCGCAAACACGGGAGCAUUCAAUAUUUACCGCCAGACUGCCAUAUCGAUGUAAUCAAUUCGCACGUAGCCCGUGGACUGGUUGCAUCAUUUCUCCGUUCAUUAUGAAAGGUCCACGUGUGCGCGUAGAGCGUCGAUACAUAUUUCGAAAUCGAAAUCUUAUUUGUGGAAAUACUUUAAAUCGACCCCAGAAAAUCGAUCGCUUGAUGGAAAAAUCAUGUAACCAUAUACGAAUUUACGUUAUACAGGGUGUCCCAAAAAUGUUGUAACACCUUGAAGGGGGUGGUUCGGGAGGUGAUUUGAAACAAUUUUUUCCUUAGCGAAAAUGUUGUCCGAGGCUUCGUUGAGGAGAUAUUAACGGAAAACAGUGACCAAUCAGAGCGCGACUAUGCCGGUGGAGCGAAGGCUACGCGCUAAACAGCCGCGCUCAUACGCUACCGCGGCCGCUCCACCGGCAUACUCGCGCUCUGAUUGGUCAGUGUUUUCCGUUAAUAUCUCUUCAACGAAGCCUCGGACAACAUUUUCGCUAAGGAAAAAGUUGUUUCAAAUCACCUCCCGAACCACCCCCUUCAAGGUGUUACAACAUUUUUAGGACACCCUGUAUAAAUUAACAAACUAGAAUUAGUAAGCAGUUACAGAGUCUCGUGAUUCUCAUCAUCGAGUUGAAAAACUUGCGGUUCCUCUGAGAUCCACUUUCUAUUUUUAUCCAGCAAUUCUUUUGUUGGGAGUAUGGCAUUACACAAGAAAGGGGGUCACGAUUUAUCCCAGUGACAGUAAUAUUCUGUGGAGAGUUUGUUCUACGGGAAGCAGUAAGUAGCGCUGUCUACGAUUAUGUGGACACACGUGGUUCAACGUUUGCGUGCAAAUAGAUGUCAUUUUUUAUUGCACAUUAGGUUCGAGGCUUUCUUGGUCGGUGUUAUAUUACAUUUAGCACCGUUCGGUGGUCGUCUGCGAGGAUGUUGCGGCGUUUCGUCACGAUUGUAAAUAAUACCUGUUCAUUAUUAUCGAAACGUUUUUACGGAACGUGUUUGUUCAAGUAACGGAAGAUUUUUACAGUUAUAGCUUCGGUAACCGUUUUAAUUAUAAAAAAUUCGUUCGUUAAACAUUCUAAAUUUUACGCAACAAAGAACGGCUAAACAAUUCUUCGUCUUUUAGUAGCUAUUCGAAAUUUAGGUUUAAAUAAGAAUUUUGCCAGUCACUGGACCCGUUCAUCGUGGAAGGAAUUUUUAAUGUGUUUUUCUUAGCACGGAAGGUUCUUGACCGAUCGCUUCCAGCGCGCUGUAUGCUUUUCGGGGAAUUCCAGAACAGGAUUAUGCACUCUGUAGCAUAAGGACACUCGUAUGAACUAUCGAGGUUAGUAAAUCAACUCGUGGCGUUCUUCCUUCUUCCAAGGAAAGAUAAAUUUGAACGUAAAACGAAAAACAAAUUGUUUAUCAAGAGGGAUGCUAAUUUAUUUCUCGAGGUUAACAAUCUACAAGUUUACGAGGUAACCACGAAGACUGUAUAAGGAGUCCUAACUGUGUAGUGUAGAAGUGUUAUCAAAAUCCCGAGCUUGACGUUAUGAAUACGGCGCGGGUGGUCAUUUCGUCUCGAAGUACGCGCAAUUGGACCCACUUUGUGCCUCGAUUAUUGUGCGAAGACGUACGUCGAUCAAUCAUGCUUCGAGACGAACGACAAAUCACUCGGUUGCGAUAUUUCGACACGCAAUUUCGCGUUCUCCAUUCGUGCACGCUGCAUCUCUCUAUUUAUACUUCGAAGAGUAGUCACGUAGACGUGACGACGUCAGCACGACGUCACACAUUGGUUCGCUAUGCCACGGAGGCGUGGCUUAGCCAGUUAGUAGUCACAGGAUGCAGUUUAUUGGCCGCAGGAGUCGCGUAGGCGUGACUUCUAAUACUAACGUUAAUUUUUUUAAAAUUACACUAUUUUAAACAUUUUUCUUUGCAGAAUAGAGAUGUAAAGUUAUCGAUGAAAGAUUAUUUAGAAGAUAUAUUUAGAAAAAAUCCUUUUUCUACUUGAUUCGAGCAUGAGUCAACGAUUAUAUUUUUCUUCCUAGAGGUGCAAUGCAAGCAACAAAUUUAUGAAAGCGCCGGAUCACUGAUAGCAGCGAUACCGUCAAUGAAACCGUAGAGGCAGCAUUGAUAACAGCUGUCUACGGAGAUUCCACCUGUGAAAGGGACCCGGUAUCGAUAUCUGCACAGUCGUAAUUCGACUCGCAAAUGCGCGAGCAUUUCUGCCAAGCGUUCUGCACGCUCGUGUUCUUAAGCAUAAGCCUGCAAGAUAUAGUCCAUCGGGCAUUAUGAGGUAUGAGCAAGUUAUCAGUAGGCACCGAGAAACGUGCAAGAUGGCACGCACGCGCUACCUUGCAAUUAUAAUCCAGAUUUCAACCCAACCUAACCUGACCAAAGCACUCUGCCUGACUCUGCCUAUAUCAUACUGUGAUUUUGACGAGAUGCAUGGAGAUAUCGUAGAUAGGUUUGUGUAAGUAAGUGGAAAUGUCCCAAGCAGCUGUGGUACAUCGAAAGAUCAUACCUGCCCUCCUCUAUCUACAAUAUCUCUAUGGAUUCCUAUCAAGAAAUAAUUAUACGUCUCCAUAAACAAGCCAAUUACCGUUCGAUAUCUUCAAUCAUCCCGCACCGUGUAGAACCCACGCUCCGCACGUGUGGUGCUUGUGCAAUUUGGGGAAUAAUCAUGACCGAUAUUCGCAAUCAAAUUCGAAGUCUGUUAUCGCAACUAGUGUGUUUUUACAAUAAACAUCGAUGAAUUCUGACCUUCCUGUAAGAUAACAGCCCCCAUCGACAGAUUAAGACGAUUUAUUGCUGCAAAUUUGACACGCGCAUUCGCGCGAAUAUACAACCGCGAGACGAACGCUCU